CGGCUUAAUGAGAUAUAUGAAAAUGAUAAAAAGUCAAAGGGGAAUGAUUAAAAAAGUCUUAAGACAAAGACUAGAAAGAAAACUAAAGAGUUCACAAUUUUGUGUACCAUCGGCUUAAUGAGACAUAAGACCAUCGGCUUAAUGAGAUAUAAGACAAAGGAUAAAGAGUCAGGGGAAUGAUUAUAAAAGUCUUAAGACAAAGACUAGAAAGAAAACUAAAGAGUUCACAAUUUUGUGUACCAUCGGCUUAAUGAGACAUAAGACCAUCGGCUUAAUGAGAUGUAUGACAAAGACGGCUUAAUGAGAUAUAUGACAAAGGAUAAAGAGUCAAAGGGGAAUGAUUAAAAGGUCUUAAGACAGACUAGACAGAGAAAGCUAAAGAGUUGUACCAUCGGCUUUGAAUCAGACCAACGGCUUAAUGAGAUAUAUGACAAAGGUUAAAGAGUCAAUUAAAAAGUCUUAAGACGAAGACUAGAUAGAAAACUAAAGAGGUCGUAAGACAAGAUUGUGACUUGUUGGAUGGUAAAACCGACCAGCAGAGAAAAAGAUGGCUUAAGUGAAGAAGAGGUAAGUAUAUGGCAUUCACUUAAUAUGAAAGACUAACAAUUCUGAUUUGCGCAGGUAUGUGCUUCUGGAGAUGUUCAGAUUUUAAGAUGGGUAGAUUCAAUUGUAGCAGACUUCUUUGACAGGUUUAUAUUCUCAUUGAUGCCAAGGAUAAUUUCUGAGCGUAGCAAGGUUUAUGAUCAGGUAUAUGCUUAUCUCGACUUCUCCAUGAUAAAUUGAUUUUAUAGAACUUAAAAUUACAGAUCUAAGCACCAUAUAUAAUUAAAAUGUUUUAUUAUGUUAGCUGUCUUAGUAUCAUUACUAUCCUUGAUCUAUUCGUCAAAUUCUAGAAACUUCUUGCUAAAAUAUCAUUGAUAAAAAAUGUUGAUUUUGCUUUGGGUGUUCGAAUAUUACAUUGUGUGUUUUAAAUUGUUAUUGUUAAUCCUCUCUGGAAGAUAUUUAUUUUGACAAUAUAUGUGACUUAUGUAGAUUAUGAUUGUAGUUUCCUUGUAUCUUGAAAGUAUUUGUUUUGAGUUUAUGUAAGUUAUGUCAAUUAUGAUUGUAGUUUUCUUGGUAUCUUGAAUUGUUUUGAGUUUUAUGUUUAAAACCUUAAACAUGUGAAUGUCAUCCUAGAAUUCUGCAUUACAUUUUGUGUUUAAAGUACUAUCUCUGAUUUUGUGUGACUUAUGUAGAUUAUGAUUGUAGUUUCCUUGUAUCUUGAAAGUACUUGUUUUGAGUUUAUGUGAGUUAUGUCAAUUAUGAUUGUAGUUUUCUUGGUAUCUUGAAUUGUUUUGAGUUUAUGUUGAAAACUUUAAACAUGUGAAUGUCAUCCUGCAUUACAUUUUGUGUUUAAAGUACUAUCUCUGUUUUGGUCUUUGUGUGUAUGAUAGUUUCUUUUAGUUUAUGAAACGUAGAUGCAUCUUGGAGUCUUCUGUAGAUACGUAUAUUGAAUCUAUGUGAUUUUCCUGCACAUUAUUUAUGGUAAUAAUAUUCUUGAAUUUGUGUAUUUGUUUUGCGUUAUGCUCGAAACCCUUGGUGAUUGAUUAUUCUAAAGCUUGCGAAAAUUUUGCAUUAUCAACUAAUGCUUAUUGUGCUAGAUAUUAUAAAUUAUACCCCCUGGCGUGAUUCUCUUGUUUUAUGUAUGAAAUAGAUACAUGUAUGAGUUUCCUGUACGUCUUUGUUUUACGUAGUUGAAAUUCUUGCAGAUUAUGUUAGUAUUUUUCUUGAAUCAUGAAUAGAUUUGUUUUGUGUUAUGCUCUCAAUCUUUGGUGGUCGAUUCAAACAUGUAAAGUGACAUUCCCAAAUUUUGCAUCAUACAUUGAUCACUAUGAUUUAGUGUGUUAUCACUUGUACUCUUUGGCUUGUUCUUUUUUAAUAUAAUGAUCUGAAGUAUAUUCUAUUAUUGUCCUACUGCCUAUCCUUUGGUCUCUUAGAGUUGGUGAAACUUGCUUCUCGUUUGAAUCAUUCAUUGGUGUGUGUAUGUUCAGUUAGAAUAUGCAAAUGAUAUUUUUUGAUCUUUUGAUUCUUUACCAUAUGCCUUUUGUUUUAACCACACUUUUAUAUGAUUGAUGUCGAAGUUCAGCUGCAAACCUUUCAAUAUAUGAUAUGUUCCAUUAUUUUAUUUAAUCUUUCACCUUUAUUGUUGUCUGUUUGGUUAAAAUGGCAAUUUGAAUUUGAAUUUUAGUUAUGCUUUUUUUCUGCAUUUUGUAGCUUUGUGGUAUACUGUAUGAAUGGUCAUGACUCAUGAUCAUGAACACAAUUCUUGCAUUUUGGUUGGUAGACUUAUCUUCUUGCGUAAUUACCAUUCUCUGCAUCGUUUACUAUCUAUAGUGGUGUCGGAUUUGUAGAAAGAGUGAUUUCAUUAUUUGUCUGAUAGUUUUUUUUCUUUUUUCUUAUCAUUAUUCUAUGGAUGAUAACAUUUUUUAUGUUAUUUUGAUCAGAUUUUAAAUCUGAAGUUUUAUUUCAGCUUCUUCUUAUCCUUUUGCUUUCUAUAGUAUUGUAUCAUUUUGUUGUUUGUUUUAAUUGUUAGCCGCAUACUGUGGUCUAUGGGUUUGGCUUCCCACGGUAGUACCUCCAAAUAUGCUAGUUAGAUUAGAUGAACGGAAUCUAAAGAGUGAAUAUAUAGUCCGAUGCUGCGGGAGCAGUGUCACUCCAUGUUAGGAAUGUCUUUCGCUUCAUAUGUUUGAGGUUUAGAUAUUUAUACCCUAUAUAAUGGGUUUCUCAAGUUUAUGUGUGGAAUGUGUUGUACCCUUAUAGUUGGGUUAACUCUCGAUCUGAUCUAGUACAACUAGUUGGUCGAACAAAGCACAAAAACAUAAACAUAAACAAAAAAGAUCUCAGGAUAACUCUCAUGACUAAAAUAAUUCACAAAACUUUUGCUGUAAACUUAUUUUAUUAAUUUGAACCAAACUUAACACAAUUCUUGAUUAAGUCCAUAUAUCCUCCAACAUUAAAAAUUCUCUGUUUUAUCCUCUCCAAAAGCACAAAUACUUAAGAACAUAAGCAAUAAAGUUCCAUAAAACUCAUACUUGAUGACAUCCAUUAGACUUUAUCAUCAUCACAUUAAACUUAGUGCAGAAAGUUUUAUAAAACAUAUAUUUAACAAGCACAACAUCCAUUUGACUCUUCACUGUUAGAUGAUAACUUUGAAACAGAAACGUCAUUAGAUGAUUAAAAAGCUACUAAGAAGCUGAGAGAGGGAUUGGUUUCACAACACUCUGAAUCCGCUCAAAAGCUAUUCUUACUCUUUCCUCAAGACCUGAAUGAUCAAUUUCUACAUUGACAUUACCAUUGACCUGAUCACCAGUUUUCCGUUCUCUCCUAGUUUCACCAGAACACCGCUCAAUGUAUUUUCUGCCAAUCUCCCAAUGGUUUUUGCCAACGAAGCCAUAUCAGAAUGAAAAACAAACAAACUUUCUUCUGAAGAUAAGGCAAUGAUGCUAGGUGUAUAUUGGUUUCACCCUACUUUAACAGGCCCUCACAAAUCCUAUCUACGAAACACUCAACACAGCUCCCAGAAGCGACUGGUAUGUAGCAGAUACUCCAGACCGUAUCCAGCAAGCCCAAGUAGAGCCCUCACAAAUACCAACAAACUGGGCCCCGACAACACCACACGGGUUGAACGGCAAAGGAACAAGCGCCUUGGACGUAGGAUCAAUGAUGAGGAGUAUCCUCGAAAAAGUAGAGGCGCAAGAUAGAAAGACAGAGGGAGGAAAAAUAUAGCGUUUCACCAUCCUCUCUCACAUAUGUGCAAGCCUUUAGGAAAAAGCCAGGCAGUAGGAAACCAACAACGAGCCAGAGGGAGGUCAGGAUGGUGAGAUAGCCGAGCUCAAAAGCCAAAUCCGAGAUGUAACGAGCAAGUUCCAGCGGACUACCAGCGUUGCACCUGACGCAGACCAUAUGAUGGAACGAUCCCAAAUGACGUCGUUUACGGCUCGAAUUCGUUGGAUCGUCGUCCUAACGCAAUCUUAAACGACGUUAGGUGAUGAGUUGGAUCCAAGUCUCCUUUGUAAGGGAUCACCUUGAUUUUGAAUUUGCCCCAAAAGAGCUUGACGCUGGAAGAUGCCAACUAUUCGUAGAAAAUUUAAGUGGUGGGGACUUGGGUUGGUUCUCCUCCCUACCAAAUCGAUUGACAGUUUCCACAAGCUUUCGUUGACUUUCCUAAAAUAAUAUUUAAUCUUGGCUAUCCCAACCGCAACUAAUACCGACCUCUCCAACAUCGUCCAAGGGAACAUGAGUCGUUACGAAAGUUUAUGGAAAGCUCGUCACACAAGUAAACGCCCAUCAUAGCGUGUCAAUCGCUGUUCUAAAAAACGCCUUGUGGUAUGAGUCAAAGUUCCGAGAAGACUUUUCGCUGAACAGGUUUCUUACAUUCUAGGGCGCCCUUCACUGAGCGUUAGUUUACAUUGAGAUGGAGGAAGAAAAAAUCGUCCUGGCAAUGAAAUACUCCCCGGCAAAAAUAUCAACCAGCAAGGCAAUAGAGGUAUACAACGAACCCUGACAGCAUCUACACAAAGAUAACAUAGCAGACAACAAAAAAGAGUAAGGGAGUUUGUCAACGAUGCCCCGCUACUCCUAGUCGCUAGUUUGUGAACUCCGAUACCGACGACCCCACCUAAAGGAGUAAGGGAGGAGCCCGACCACAACCUUCAUUGCGACUUACAUGAAUGUACCAGCCACUCAACAAUAUAUUGCAGGCACUAGCAAAAUGCGUUGCGCUGCAAAUAUUUAAAUGGCGAAGUCAGAGUGCAGUUGAGGCAAUACAAGAACAACACCCAACGAGGCCAAGGCAAUGCACGCAGCCAUCUAGGACAGCAAGGUCGUCCGAAUAACCAACCCGCACCAGGUGGAAAUAAAUAAUCAGGUCGGCGAACAAGAAAAUCAGCAAGCUGAUGCACCAAUACUCAUGGCUCGUUGAAGGAUUAGCAAAAUUUUGGGAGGCAUACCAUUCGACCCUGAGCCAUCUCAAUCUAUACGCCCUUUUCACGAUGUCUAAGGUACAAUAAUCGUUUGGCUAGCCGGUAGUACACCAAUCUGCCAGUCAUACACCCCAAUCGCAUUCAGGGAGGAGGAUGCCACCAGGUUACCUAACUCGCCCACCGGGCCCGUGGUCGUCGUUAUGAACAUUGGUAAUUGUUUGGUCCCACACGUCUUGAUUAACACCAGAAGUUCAGUGAAUGUAAUUUUUAAAAGCGUGCUUCCCCGAAUGAGAAUCGACUUACAUCUUGCCGUACCAUAAGAUGACUUUAAAAAGCUACUAAGAAGCUGAAAGAGGGAUUGGUUUCACAGCACUUUGAAUCCGCUUAAAAGCUACUCUUACUCUUUCCUUAAGACCUUAAUGCUCAAUUUCUACCUAUCUACUCUCUUUAUCGACAUUACCAUCAAGCCUAAUCACCAGUUUCCCGUUCUCUCCUAGGUUCACCAGAAUACCGCUCAACAUAUUUUCCAACAAUCUCCUAAUGGUUUAUGCCAAUUUCUAAACUAAUAUCAGUUUUAAUAGACUCACUCACAGUUCUUCCGGAUCAUGAUAUUUGGACUAUUUCUGGACCGGGCCUUAUGUGGGAGUGAGAAUCCACCCCCAAGAGUAGUCUCCCCCACUUUCAGUUCGUAGCUUUGCGGAGAGCUUUGUUGUGUUGUCCGAUCGUUUCCCCCCAAUUUCAGUUUGUAGUUUUGUAGAGAGCUUUGUUUUUAUCCGUAGCGUCAAGGCUCGUCUUCCUGAAUGUUGACCGCCUGCUCCUUCAUGAGUUUCUGUCAUUACUCGCACUGUUCUGUCGCCAUGCAGACACAUCAGCAAGGCUCCUGAUGCGCUCCAUCGAAGUAGAUGUUCCUUAAUCAAGGUGUAGUGGGCGGCUUUCGUUUUCAGUCACAGUGCUGCCCACUCAUCCGUUGAUAGGUCGCCGUCCGCCAAGUAAGCUCUAAUCUCCCCUUGCAGAAAGCUCGGAUCCGCUUGUUCUACAUCCCGCUGGCGAUUUUUAUCCGACGAGGAGCACCUCGUACUCGGCGACAUUGUUUGUUGCUUGGAAUCUGAGCCUGAACGAUUGUUUUAAAAUUUAUUCGGUUGUUGACGUCAGGCGGAUUCCCAUGCCGGAGCCGAGGUGAGAGGACGCACCAUCGACGUGUAAGGUCCACUAUCCGUCGGAAGGGUCGGCGGGAGUUUGCUUGGUGCCCUCCAAGACGUGGGAUUUGGCGGCUGGGCAGGUUUGAAACUCGAUGUAGUACUCCCUGAGCUCGAUUGCCCAUUUUAAUCGCCCAGACUGUGCAAUAUCGAUCUCAAGGACUGGUUGGUUAGGACGGCGAUGGUAUGGGACUUAAAUUACGGGCGGAGUUUCCUUGCUGAAGUGACGACUGUUAGGGCAAUCUUUUCGACUGUUGGGUAGCGAGUAUCGGAGUUGUCAAGCGAUUUACUGAUAUAAAAGAUUGGUCGCUGUUCUUGUAACGCCCGCGAUCCUGAAUAGGAUCGUAGGCCGGGACUUGGUUAAGAUGGAAGGGAGAUCUCGGACAAGUCGGCAAGGAGCUACUCGAUAGCUCGGACAAUGGGGAACACAUGCUAAGUAAGGGAAUAAAGAUUGGCCAGCUACAGACAGCUCUCGUCCAGCUACGGACAGCUCGACCAGCUAUUGGCCAGCUAGUGUCAGCUCGACCAGCUAGCGUCAGCUCGACCAGCUGCCAGUCAACUACCACUAACUCGACCAGCUGCUUUUCAGCUACCAUUAGCUCGACCAACUGCCUAGGAACUUGACCAAGCUCAGUUAGUUGGACGGUGGUGGACAGUGUGCAGGUCAGCUGGGGAGCUUGUGAGCGGUUAUGGGAUGCGGUGACCGAACAUGCAUGACCGAACGUGUACGAUCUAACGGGAGCGAUCGAAUGGUCUUGUCGGAUAGGUGAAUUUUGGGGCCUAGAUUUCGGCCAAGACCCUACAUAUAGAGGGUGUGGCCUUCAUUCCAAACCAUCAGCAGAAAUAAAAAAAAACUUUGUAAAUUCUCGAGUGUGAUCGAGAGAGAGAUCGAGAGAAAGGUUUUCAAGGCCGAUAGUCGGCAAGUAAGGUUUGAGAGACCGAGGUACAAUGAAGCAAUUGUGCUUACUUAGGCUUAUCUUGCUUCGAGCUGUCUAGUAACUUUGAAAGAUCAUGCUUGGCGAGUUUCUGUGAUCGUGUCCUUGGAAAUUCGAUGAGUUUGCCAAUACGAUCUUUUGUGGCCAAUAUGAACUGCCCAUCAUAACAAUCGCAAUACGCUAAGUGAUUAAUAUGCAUCUGUUAUCGUCUGCGGGAACAUAGAGAGUUUGCCGAGACGUGUCAGCUUUAUCGUCUGCGGGAACUUAAAGAGUUUGCUGAGACGUGUGUUGUAUCAUCUGCGGGGAUUGGGAGAGUUCGCCGAGAUAUGUUUGUUGUAUAGUCUGUGAGACCUCAAAGAGUUUACCGAGAUGGGUCUAAGGUAUCAAUGAUUUCUGUAAGCGCAACCUUGGGAACUAGUGGGUUUGCCAAAAAGUGUUCUGAAAGAAUUGGCAAUCACCCGAACAUGUCUGAAGAUAAAUGGUGAUCUGAAAGUGUUUGAAAGGAUCAUAAGUGAUCGAGAGAUGUUGUGGGAACCGAGAGUGGUUGGACUUGAUGUUUGUCUAUGGGAUCGCUAUUCUAGAUGUCAGUUGUCGUACAUAAUGUCUGUCUGAUAUGGGUGCGUCGGCCAAGGAAUGGUCGCAAGAAGUUCUGAACAUGUCUAAAUAUCAGGAUCAAAUCUGUAGAAGAUUGUGAUCAGGAAUGGUGGACUAAGUCUGGAAAAGAGUUAAGGGUUGGAAUGUGAUUCCAUCAAACGCCGAAUUCGAGGACGAAUUCAUUCUAAGUGAGGAAGAAUUGUAACACCCCUAUCCCAGUAUCGUGAUUGGGCUGAUUACCGAGGAUUAAUGAUGGGAUAGGCUGUGGUUCAAGACCUGGUCGAGCGUGUUGGGGAGUCCGCGUUAACUGUUUUGGCGGGAACGGUUAUUGGCGUGAGGAAACACGCAGAUUUAAAUGGAUUCUGUGGCGUCCCUCUUGGACACGACAGUUCUGUUCGCGAGUUUAGACGCGAGAGAAAGAAAGACAAAGGGAAUCGUCGAGAUAACUCCUAGAUUUAGAGAGGGUGGUCAAGUUUUGGGGAGUCUGUUCGAUGAUCAAUUUUUGUAUGUCCGGCGAUGGUAUGUUCACCGAAUACCAAUAUUCGUGAUUGAUGUGUGGGACCGACAGGCGGGAUGAAGAGAUCGAUAUGGGAGAUCGAGCCCGAGUCAGUGGUGGUGUACGCUUGCUGAGCGAGUAGGAGUAUGUGAUCGGGAGUACAGUUGGGGGAGGAACGAGCAUCUGGUGGUUAUCGAGUGUAUCCGGCAGUUAUCGGAGGACCGAGCGAUAACCGACAAUUUUGUAUGCGGGGGUGAGUAAUCGACACGGAUCAAUGAUAGUGAUGGUAUGUGGUACGCAUCACCGAGAGUGGUGGUACGCGGUACCGGAUUCUGAUUGUGAUAGUACACGGUACGCAUCACCGAGAGUGGUGGUACGCGGUACCGGAUUCUGAUAGUGGUAGUACGUGGUAUUCAUCACCGAGAGAGGUGGUAUGCGGUACCGGAUUCUGAUAGUGGUGGUACGCGAUUAGUGGUAUUUGUUCUGUUUGAUGUUCUGGAAGUCUGGUUAGUGUGAUGUGGAUUCCAGACAUCUCUCUCUCGGGCUAGUCAUGUGGGGAUGGUUGGCUGAGUGACUAGAUUCCGAGGGGAGAUGUUGGAUGAAACAUCUAUAGUCGAUGGUUCGGAUGUUCUGGAUCGGAAGAAAGUGCAGAGACGUGCGAGAAGCCAUGUGUAUCAGAGUGCGCACCGGGAGCGUCCGAGGAACGAGUCUGCUUCCAUGAAAGACUAAGGUAUUUUUACUAAGUCUAGCUUGGUCAUGGUAUUGUUUCUGCUGCGUAGAUUGGUUCAGAUAGGUUUCUAGCUCGAAUCUGUUUGUUUUACGAAUUUUAUGUGAGAAGUUAAAUCGUCGCCGGAAGUUUUAUCGGAAUUUUAGUCCCCGGCGAAGCUACGUUUUUUGUGUGUUCUGUGCGUCCUGCGGCCGAGGGUUUUAGAAACUGGGUCAGGGCAUUUCACUGACCUCCGGGGAAAAGACAAAGCAAGAAGAAAGCCCAACCUAGUCCAAUGAACAUCGCGGGAGGAAGAUCAAAGAAGAGAGAGCUCCUCCAGUUACAAGUGAACCCGCGCAGGAAGCUGAAUAUGGACCCGUUGAUACCUACUCAUCCCUCUAGGAGUUCACACAAUUCUCUCCAAGGGGACCAAGGGCAUGGGUUGAUGGGUGGUACUUCAGUAAUCGCAGGGGUUGAUACUUCUCAACCUUCCGUUUAUGGUUUGAUGAAUUCCCUCACAUAAAGAUAGCGAGUUGGAACUUUCAAGGGCUGGGGAAUCCCAAGACAGUUCGGCGAAUAAAGGCGAUUCAUCGAUGAUGGUCUCCUGAUUUCUUAUUCCUCAUGGUACCGUUCUGUCCAACUGAGGAUCUCUAAGGUGCGGUAGGAUCUAGUUCGCUGGAACAAGGAGAAUUUUUGAAAUAGCAAAGAAGCGAUUGAGCUUCUGCAAUUGGAGCUGGAGAAAGCAAUUGUAAGUCAUGUAAAUGAUCCCCCAUUGCUAGAAAAAUUUAAUGUCCCCCUAGAUACAGUUUAUAAGGAGGAAGAAAGCUUCUGGAAGCAGCGUAGUAGGCAAUUGUGGCUUUUUCUCGUUGAUAAGAACUCGUGAUACUUUCAUGCGGUAACCAGAAGAUGGAAGGCAAUUAACAAGUUCACGGUCAUAGAGAAUGAGGCUGGAGAAGUCUUUUUGAUGAAGUGAAGAUUGUGGAGAUAAUAUCUUUGUAUUUUCAUAAUAUGUUUGGAUCAACCGAAGCCACAGUUGAGGGUGUGGAGGACAUUGUACGUCAAGCGUUGUCUCCUUGUAUCCCUGAGGAUGUAAAUCAGAGUUUGAUUAGAGAUUCGUCGGUCGAGGAGAUAAGUGCAAAAAUAUUCAGUAUCCAUCCUGAUAAAGCUCCAAGACCGGAUGGUUUUUCUGCCUGCUUUUUCCAAACUAAUUGGACAGCGAUUAGUCCUGCCAUUGUUAGUGAAAUCCAAGAGUUCUUCAUAUCAGGGGUGGUGCUUCCGAAGCUUAAUGAGACUCAUAUUCAUCUUAUCCCUAAGGGACAGGGGCCAAGAGUGGUGGCUGAUUGCAGACCAAUUGCACUUUGCAAUGUGUAUUACAAAGUGAUUUCUAAGCUUUUAGCCAAGAGAUUACAGCCACUAUUGGAGUCUAUUAUCUCAGAAAAUCAAUCCGCAUUUAUUCAGGGAAGAGCAAUUUCGGACAAUGUCCUGAUAACUUAUGAGAUUUUACACUUCCUCAAGCAUUCUGAUGCUAGGAAAUACUGUUCAAUGGCUAAAAAGACUGAUAUGAGCAAAGUCUACGACAUAGUGGAAUGGAGCUUCAUUCAAGCCGUAUUCCAAAGAUUAGGCUUCCAUCCCAAAUGGAUAAACUGGAUCAUGCAAUGUACUUUUACAGUUUCUUAUGCCUUCCUGGUUAAUGAUUCUCCACAGGGGCGGGUAGUUCCAGUAUGAGGAAUAAGACAAGGGGAUCCCAUCUCCCCAUAUAUCUUUUUCCUAUGCAGCGAGGUCCUAUCGGGACUUUGCCACAAGGCUCAAGCGUCGGGUAAGAUGAAAGGAAUCUCUGUUGCGAGAGGAUAAAUAUCUCGGGUUACCUAAAGACGCUGCUUGGUAAGUAUGAGAAAGCGUCUAGUCAGCGAAUAAAUCCGUCAAAGUCGUCUAUAUUCUUCUCAUGAAGAACUUUAGAGAUGCAAAGACAGACGGCGAUGAGAGCACUAGGGAUUACCAAGGAGGGAGGAGUGGGUAAAUAUCUCGGGUUAACAUUUUGGAAGAAAGAAGAAAGAUCUAGUCUCCUCUAAAUAGAUGAUAGAAUCAGACAACGAGCCUUGUUGUGGUCUUCCAUGUUCCUCUCUCAAGCUGGUAAGCUUACUAUGAUGAAGAGUGUGUUGAAAGUAAUGCCAACAUACUUCUAUGUCAUGCUUCCAGUUGCCGGUGUCCCUGUGUAAUAGGAUCCAAUCUACCCUGACAAGAUUCUGGUGGGGUUCAAAGGCUGAGAAGAGGAGUAUGUGCUGGGUGGCUUGGGAGAAGUUGACAGGUAGCAAAAGGGAUGGUGGGUUAGGUUUUCGCGACCUCAGUGUUUUAAUGCGGCCUUGCUGGGUAAACUGAGCUGGAGAAUUUACUCGAAUCCUACUUGUUAGUUGGCCCGUACCCUACUGGGAAAAUAUUGUCAAGACAAAUCCUUCCUGGAGGCGGACUGCCCUAGUUCAGCAUCUCAUGGUUGGCGAAGUGUCCUUGUGGGGAGGGAUGUAUUAGCAAAGAAUCUGGGAUGGGUUGUGGGUAAUGGGAAAUCUAUUAAGAUCUGGGAGGACCCGUGGCUUUCGCUAUCAACCCCACUGCAAACUUUUGGUCCGGCUACCUUAGCCAGUAAAGAUUCAUUGGUCUCGGAUUUAUUCAUGUCAGGAACCCGGGAAUGGGAUGUGGAAAAGGUUGGGAUACUUCUCCCCGCUUUAAAGAUGUAAUCCUCAGCAUCAAACCAAGCAGAUUGGGAGCUCAAGAUAAGCUGGUCUAGUUGGGAAAUAACUUUGGAUCUUAUACUACUAAAUCAGGGUAUUUUGUGGAAAGAGGAACCUUUACUAUUGACUUUGGGCAACAUCUAAGGUCAGUAAACCGGAAAGCAGAAGUGUGGGCUAUCAAUACGGCCCCUAAUCAAGGUCUUCAUCUGGAAGACCCUCCACGAGGCGUUGCUUGCUAAACAGCAACUUAAAGAUAGGCAUAUUGAUAUUCCGGUGGCUUGUCACCGCUGUGGAGAGGUAGAAUCUAUACUGCAUUUGCUCUUCCUUUGUCCGUUUGCAAAGGAAGUGUGGAGUUACAGUCCUCUGUCUCAGGUGCUUCCUUACGAGCAAGUGGACAGUGUAAGAUUAGGACUACGUAUAGCAAACAAUUUCCUAUUUCUUCCCCGUCGGGGAUAAGUGAGGGCCCAUUGGCACCAUGGGUUUGCUGGAAUCUAUGGAAGGCAAGGAAUCAGGGGGUCUUUAACAAUCGCUUGUUCGAGGCUCAGGAAACCAUGAUUAAAGCUAUUAAUAAUGCGAAAGAAUGGUUUGGGGUACAAGAACAAAUACUGAAACGGUCUCGACCUUCUGUGCCACCUACUAGGUUUUUCCAACCUCAUGAAGGACGAAGCAUGAUAUGUGCUUUGGAUGCAUCAUGGCGGUCAGAUCUAAGAGUAGCGAGUCUGGGAUGGACAAGCUCCUGCUAUCCUCUGGGACCAUAUCCCACCACUCAGAAAUCUGCGAAAUUGUGUCUUCAGCUCUUAUGGCAGAAAUCCUUGCGUGUAGAGCUGCAAGUCAAACUGCAGUCAGACUAGGUUUUGAUCACCUUUACAUCGAGUCCGAUUGUCUACAAUUGGUUGGAGCUAUAAACUCUCGAUCAAUUAUUUUGGAACUACAUGGAGUAAUUUCGGAUAUCUUCUUAGCGCUGGAUUCUUUUGCUAGUUUUACCUGUUGCUAUAUUCCAAGAGCAGCGAAUGUUUUAGCUGACUCUAUUGCGAAAAACUAUCUAAGGGUAUAUGUUCAAAACUUUGGUUGAUUAAUAUAUAUUUGGUGUACAAAAAAAAAAUUAAUUUGGCUGUAAACUUAUUUUAUUAAUUUGAACCAAACUUAACACAAUUCUUUGA